AAGCACCAGAUACGAGCCUGACAGUCUGCUUUGUCCCAGAUGUGUUUCACACUGGGGUUUUCUAUGGCUGCACGGCUUCAAACGGUGCAAGAGCAGCAUCAGUCCUGAGAUUUAAGCUUUUCAGUGGAAAGCAACACUGUUGAGUUAUGGCUCAGAGGCACAGAG
rnacentral:snoRNA from 1 species